AUUAGACCUGCUGUCAAAAGUCUACAAUUAAAGCAGAGUCCUUGUGCCACACGACUCCAGUUAACAGCAUGCUGAUAUUUUUGCUUCAAUGCUGACUUAAUGCUUUGUGUCUCUGGAGACUCAUCAGAGUUACAUUGGGAUGCAGAGCAAAGCUCCAACACUUGCCUUUAAGCAGAAGAGAGCCUGUCACCCCAUCACCCCACUGUUUGAUGCCGUGCCAAGAGGAAUCACGUGGACAGAACGCCAAGCAUAAAAUGAAACAUGAAUAUAAUGGCAAUAUUCCAGCGGAAAUCGGACUUCAUAUUGGAUUUCUUUUUCUACAUUUGGCCUCAUUAAGCUUUGCAGAUGACUGGGAAAUAGCCACUCUGCAUGAUCACAGUAGUGUGGAGAGCCUGAUUAGCCUCAUGGUGCUCAGCAGCAGGUGGAGAAGAUGACGGUAGAUCAGGUGAACUGCUUCCAGAAGCAUCUCAGCUUUUCUAACUAUGAAAAAUAAAGAGCCUA